rnacentral:rRNA from 1 species
GUCGAACGAAGCACUUAUGUUUGAUUCUUCGGAUGAAGAUAUAUGUGACUGAGUGGCGGACGGGUGAGUAACGCGUGGGUAACCUGCCUCAUACAGGGGGAUAACAGUUAGAAAUGGCUGCUAAUACCGCAUAAGCACACAGUGUUGCAUGACACAGUGUGAAAAACUCCGGUGGUAUGAGAUGGACCCGCGUCUGAUUAGCUAGUUGGUGGGGUAACGGCCUACCAAGGCGACGAUCAGUAGCCGACCUGAGAGGGUGACCGGCCACAUUGGGACUGAGACACGGCCCAAACUCCUACGGGAGGCAGCAGUGGGGAAUAUUGCACAAUGGGGGAAACCCUGAUGCAGCGACGCCGCGUGAGCGAAGAAGUAUUUCGGUAUGUAAAGCUCUAUCAGCAGGGAAGAAAAUGACGGUACCUGACUAAGAAGCCCCGGCUAACUACGUGCCAGCAGCCGCGGUAAUACGUAGGGGGCAAGCGUUAUCCGGAUUUACUGGGUGUAAAGGGAGCGUAGACGGAUGUGCAAGUCUGAAGUGAAAGCCCGGGGCUCAACCCCGGGACUGCUUUGGAAACUGUGUAUCUGGAGUGCCGGAGAGGUAAGCGGAAUUCCCAGUGUAGCGGUGAAAUGCGUAGAUAUUGGGAGGAACACCAGUGGCGAAGGCGGCUUACUGGACGGUAACUGACGUUGAGGCUCGAAA